GACAGAGGCCCCAAGCGUUAGUCGGAAUUACUGGGCUUAAAGGGUGCGUAGGCGGGCGCGUAAGUGUUCUGUGAAAUCCCCGGGCUCAACCCGGGAACCGCAGGGCAUACUGCGCGUCUCGAGGAAGCUAGAGGCCGGCGGAACGAUCGGUGGAGCGGUGGAAUGCGUAGAGAUCGAUCGGAACGCCAAGGGUGAAGACAGCCGGCUGGGGCUUUCCUGACGCUGAGGCACGAAGGCCAGGGGAGCAAACGGG
rnacentral:rRNA from 1 species